rnacentral:rRNA from 1 species
AAUCAACGCUGGCGGCGUGCCUCAGACAUGCAAGUCGAACGCGAAAGUUUCCUUCGGGAGACAAGUAGAGUGGCGCACGGGUGAGUAACACGUAGGUAAUCUACCUUUGGAUGGGGAAUAACAACCGGAAACGGUUGCUAAUACCGCAUAAUGCAGCGGCACCUAAUGGUGACAGUUGUUAAAGCGGGGGAUCGAAAGACCUCGCGUCUGAAGAGGAGCCUGCGGCGGAUUAGCUAGUUGGUAAGGUAAUGGCUUACCAAGGCUACGAUCCGUAACCGGCCUGAGAGGGCGGUCGGUCACACUGACACUGACAUACGGGUCAGACUCCUACGGGAGGCAGCAGUCGGGAAUUUUGGGCAAUGGGCGAAAGCCUGACCCAGCAACGCCGCGUGAAGGAUGAAAUCCCUCGGGAUGUAAACUUCGCAAGAACGGGAAGAAUAAG